rnacentral:misc_RNA from 1 species
GAUCAUUACCGAGUGCGGGCCCCUCGGGGCCCAACCUCCCACCCGUGUUGCCCGAACCUAUGUUGCCUCGGCGGGCCCCGCGCCCGCCGACGGCCCCCCUGAACGCUGUCUGAAGUUGCAGUCUGAGACCUAUAACGAAAUUAGUUAAAACUUUCAACAACGGAUCUCUUGGUUCCGGCAUCGAUGAAGAACGCAGCGAAAUGCGAUAACUAAUGUGAAUUGCAGAAUUCAGUGAAUCAUCGAGUCUUUGAACGCACAUUGCGCCCUCUGGUAUUCCGGAGGGCAUGCCUGUCCGAGCGUCAUUGCUGCCCUCAAGCCCGGCUUGUGUGUUGGGCCCCGUCCCCCCCGCCGGGGGGACGGGCCCGAAAGGCAGCGGCGGCACCGCGUCCGGUCCUCGAGCGUAUGGGGCUUCGUCACCCGCUCUAGUAGGCCCGGCCGGCGCCAGCCGACCCCCAACCUUUAAUUAUCUCAGGUUGACCUCGGAUCAGGUAGGGAUACCCGCUGAACCUAAGCAUAUCA